AGGAUAAACGCUGGCGGCGUGCCUAACACAUGCAAGUCGAACGUCCUACGCAAGUAGGGAGUGGCGGACGGGUGAGUAACACGUGGGCAAUCUACCUUUCGGUGAGGAAUACCGGCGAGAAAUCGCCGACAAUACCGCAUACGUUUCGCAAGAAACAAAGUCGCAAGACGCCGGAGGAGGAGCCUGCGCCCGAUUAGCUGGUUGGUGAGGUAACAGCUCACCAAGGCUUCGAUCGGUAGC
rnacentral:rRNA from 1 species